rnacentral:rRNA from 1 species
GUGGGGAAUUUUGGACAAUGGGCGCAAGCCUGAUCCAGCCAUUCCGCGUGCAGGAUGAAGGCCUUCGGGUUGUAAACUGCUUUUGUACGGAACGAAAAGCCUCUGGUUAAUACCCGGGGGUCAUGACGGUACCGUAAGAAUAAGCACCGGCUAACUACGUGCCAGCAGCCGCGGUAAUACGUAGGGUGCGAGCGUUAAUCGGAAUUACUGGGCGUAAAGCGUGCGCAGGCGGUGAUGUAAGACAGUUGUGAAAUCCCCGGGCUCAACCUGGGAAGUGCAUCUGUGACUGCAUUGCUGGAGUGCGGCAGAGGGGGAUGGAAUUCCGCGUGUAGCAGUGAAAUGCGUAGAUAUGCGGAGGAACACCGAUGGCGAAGGCAAUCCCCUGGGCCUGCACUGACGCUCAUGCACGAAAGCGUGGGGAGCAAACAGGAUUAGAUACCCUUGUAGUCC